GACGAACGCUGGCGGCGUGCUUAACACAUGCAAGUCGAACGGUAAGGCCCUUCGGGGUACACGAGUGGCGAACGGGUGAGUAACACGUGGGUGAUCUGCCCUGCACUUCGGGAUAAGCCUGGGAAACUGGGUCUAAUACCGGAUAGGACCACUGCCUGCAUGGGUGGUGGUGGAAAGCUUUUGCGGUGUGGGAUGGGCCCGCGGCCUAUCAGCUUGUUGGUGGGGUGAUGGCCUACCAAGGCGACGACGGGUAGCCGGCCUGAGAGGGUGACCGGCCGCACUGGGACUGGGAUACGGCCGAGACUCCUACGGGAGGCAGCAGUGGGGAAUAUUGCACAAUGGGCGCAAGCCUGAUGCAGCGACGCCGCGUGGGGGAUGACGGCCUUCGGGUUGUAAACCUCUUUCAGCACCGACGAAGCGCAAGUGACGGUAGGUGCAGAAGAAGGACCGGCCAACUACGUGCCAGCCGCCGCCGUAA
rnacentral:rRNA from 1 species